GAUGAACGCUAGCGGCAGGCUUAAUACAUGCAAGUCGUGGGGCAGCAUGAGUAGCAAUACUUGAUGGCGACCGGCAAACGGGUGAGGAACACGUACACAACCUUCCUUCAAGCGGGGAAUAGCCCAGAGAAAUUUGGAUUAAUACCCCAUAAUAUAUUUGAUAAGGCAUCUUAUUAAUAUUAAAGCUUCGGCACUUGAUGAUGGGUGUGCGGCUGAUUAGAUAGUUGGCGGGUAACGGCCCACCAAGUCUACGAUCAGUAGCUGAUGUGAGAGCAUGAUCAGCCACACGGGCACUGAGACACGGGCCCGACUCCUACGGGAGGCAGCAGUAAGGAAUAUUGGACAAUGGACGAAAGUCUGAUCCAGCCAUGCCGCGUGAAGGAUUAAGGUCCUCUGGAUGUAAACUUCUUUAUAUGGGACGAAAAAGGGCAUUACUUGUUACACUUGACGGUACCAUAUGAAUAAGCACCGGCUAACUCCGUGCCAG
rnacentral:rRNA from 1 species